AAACGUUGGCGGCGUGGACUAGCAUUCAGUCGAGCGAGAACCCGCAAGGGGGGACAGCGGCAACGGGGUAUAGUCGGAACGUGCCCUCUGGUCGGGGAUAGCGGCGGGAAACUGCCCGGUAAUACCCGAUGAACUCGAGAGAGCAAAGGUGUGAUUCCGCCGGAGGAGCGGACGACAUGGUAUUAGCUAGUUGGCGGGGUAACGGCCCACCAAGGCUGUGAUGCCUAGGGGAUGUGAGAGCAUGAUCCCCACCAUUGGGACUGAGACACUGCCCAGACACCUACGGGUGGCUGCAGUCGAGAAUCUUCGUCAAUGGGCGAAAGCCUGAACGAGCGACGCCGCGUGCGGGAUGAAGGCCUUUGGGUUGUAAACCGCUGUCGAGGGGGAUGAAGGCUUGAAAGUCAUCUUUCAAGUUUGACAGAGCCCUGGAGGAAGCACGGGCUAAGUUC
rnacentral:rRNA from 1 species